GUAUUUUUCAGUCCAGCAGGGGGAAACAAACGUCAGCAAAUGAAAUAGGUAUUAAGACUUCCACACAUCACAAUAUCAACAUAAUGAUACAUCCUGCUGACAAUGUGAAAGCUGUGAUGUACAUAUCUGACACCUCCCCUUUCCAUUUUACUGUGACAGUGAUGUGCUCGUGUCCACAGGUGCUGAACUAACAGGGUCUGAAAGUAAAGCUAGUAGUGAGUCUCACAUCUAAACUUCUUUAAUAUGAUGUUCAUGGUCUUCAUGUUUUGUUUCCUUCAUCUGCCGGGGAAUAACGGCGUCUCUCAUACCGCCAGUGUCCUCCAAACACCUCCAUUCAUCAUUAAGAGAACUGGUGAAUCUGUUGUCAGUGAGAUCUACUGCUCACACAGCAUAACAAGCUAUGAACGCAUUCUCUGGUACAAACAGGACAAAUCCAAAUCUCUGAAGUUACUGGGAUAUCUAAACCUGAAAUUCCCAUAUCCGGAGGAAGACGUGAAAGGAAAAAUCAGCUUUGAUGGAGAUGGCAGCAAACAUUCAAACCUGACUAUAUCUAAUGUUUCAUUAAGUGACAGUGCUGUGUAUUUCUGUGCUGCCAGUCAGCACAGUGCUGCAGAUUCCCCUCAGCUCACUACAAAAACCCUUCAUCUGUUUGACAGGCAGACAAAAUGUUCAGGCUCUUCAACACCUGCAGCCUGACUUCAACUAAACCAAGACUUGAAGAUUUUAUCAACUGUUUUGACACAUUUUUGACCCCCUCUGAGGUCCUGUUGUAGGCCCACAGUUAAACAUACUGUAUUGUCGUCAUAAUCCUUUGAUGUGCAGAACAUAAUGUUUGUAAUAUUGUCUCAUCAGCUACAAGAUGGAUGGAAUCUGGCACUAUUGUGGGUAUGGUACAUCAUUGUGGUUAUUCACUGAGAGAAAAAAAUGAUCACUUUUUCCAUCACUAGCUUAAUUGAGGUCAUUUAAAUACACAAACUAACACCAGACAGAAACUAAGCCUGAGAUGGGAAUGUUUUCUCAUGCUGUUAAAGGUGUUUUGCCUUUUAAUGUUAAUGAUGUUUCCAAAGACAGGAGUUUUUGUCAGUAUCUUCUACAUACAUGUACAUACAGUAUGUGUGUGGUGGUCAUAUAGUCA